ACGUAGGGAGCAAGCGUUGUCCGGAAUUACUGGGCGUAAAGGGCGCGUAGGCGGGAUAUUAAGUUAGGUGUGAAAACUCCGGGCUCAACUUGGAGAGUGCACUUAAAACUGGUAUCCUUGAGGACAGGAGAGGAAAGUGGAAUUCCUAGUGUAGCGGUGAAAUGCGUAGAUAUUAGGAGGAACACCAGUGGCGAAGGCGACUUUCUGGACUGUAACUGACGCUGAGGCGCGAAAGCGUGGGGAGUGAACGG
rnacentral:rRNA from 1 species